rnacentral:rRNA from 1 species
AUUGAACGCUGGCGGCAGGCCUAACACAUGCAAGUCGAGCGGAGCGGCGGACGGGUGAGUAAUGCCUGGGAAUCUGCCUGGUCGUGGGGGAUAGCGUCCGGAAACGAGCGCUAAUCCCGCAUACUCGCAGACUGGCCUAGGUAGGAUUAGCUAGUUGGUGGGUUAAAGGCCUACCAAGUCGACGAUCCGUAACUGGGCUGAGAGGAUGAUCAGACACACGGGAACUGAGACACGGCCCAGACUCCUACGGGAGGCAGCAGUGGGGAAUAUGGGACAAUGGGCGAAAGCCUGAUCCAGCCAUGCCGCGUGUAUGAAGAAGGUCUUCGGAUUGUAAAGCACUUUAAGUUGGGAGGCGUUACCAACAGAAGAAGCACCGGCUAACUCCGUGCCAGCAGCCGCGGUAAUAC